UUAAAACGAGGCGCUUGUUUAGUAAACAUAUUCUUGUUUUGUCUCGGUGUAUUGUUCGUCUGCAGUGAACAAACAGUAAAUAAACUUUCUCUCGGUAAAAAAAACUCAUCGCAGCUGGCUUAGGCAGACAUGUUGAAUGAACCGAAUGUCUUCAUGUGAGGAUACUCUGGGCUCCGUGACCAUCCUGCCCUCAACCCAAUCAAAUAUGACUUUGAAAGAUGGAUGAAUCAGAAUGAUGCCUGUCACUCAGUCAAGUCCAGCUUUAGAUGUUGCGAUUGUCAAAACAGUUUUGAACCGAGGGUCCACUGCGGGAGAUGAAAGCGGCGGAUAAACCCAUACAGUACUUGCUGUUUGAAUCGAUGCCGCAGCCGUCUGCAUGUGCAUAGAUAAGAGAAAGGACAGCAUGUGGAUCCUCCAGAGCCCGCUGGAAAAGAACUCCCAGAUGCUUGUUUAAAGAGACAUGCUGAGUCUCCCACAUCAGCAUUUUACCUCCUGGAAUCAGAGCCAAUUUGUUGAUUUAAGUCACACACUGAGUGGAGAUUGAUGGCUCUGGAACUGCAGGACUCCUUAUCGAUUGAUCACACAGCCUGUGGAUAUGUGCUCCACCAAAUCGUUCGUCAUUGUAAAGUGCGUCCAUAAACACCAAAUGAAAGUGCUUUAGUCCAUGUAAGAAUGCAAUGAAUGAUCUUGCAAGAAUUCAGUAGGAUACACAAAGUGAAUGAAUCGCUAUACUAAUGUGCCAUGCAGAUACUUGGAGGCGAUAUUUAAGUAAAUUGCCGUCAUAGCUCAAAUAUUUUCUUUUUCCUGUGUCUUUUUGGAAGAAUGUUGUUGCCGAAAUGUCAGUAUUUCAUAAGCGAAGCAUGGAAA